GCACAUUUAAUGAAGAAAUGGAUGCCGAUAAACACCUGCCAAGGUUGACUAAAAAUAAACAGAAACAUCCAAUCAAUAGUUAUGAUUGCACUAAGCGGUUGCUAUGUGGAUGUUUUUUUAUGUUCGACAGCUCAGCAAAGUCUGCGGAUCUGGUUAUGCUUCCUGUACGAGACAGAUCACGAAGUGGUAGCUGACUGACCAGUUGGGGCGAAAAUUUGUGUGGGAAGGACGUAAGAGAAAGUUGACAUUCAGAAACCUUCACCUUGCUGAGUGCAUCAUAAAUGCAGUGCAGAGCUGCCAUAAAUGUGAAGACUUCAAGGUAGAAACCAUGGUCACAGAUUAACUUCGCCACGCACCUGCCUGACAUCAGUCAUCUCAAAUGGAACAUUCUGCACCACAGGAGAGAGAGAUGUGAACUGCCUUAAGUGGGCCUUGAAUGUGCUGAGCUUUUUAUUAUGUUUAUCAGACAUUUUUUUAAGCAAAGUAUCCUGCAUUGUUCAGUAAGUAUACUUCAUUUUGAAAACCUCAUGCUGUCUAUGCAGCAUUGUUCAAAAAUUAUACUUUAUUUUAAAAGCAUCAAGCACUGCUCGUCUGUCUAACAGUAACAAUAAAGAGUUAAUGG